rnacentral:rRNA from 1 species
CCGAGAAGUCCCAGUCGGUUGCGAGUCGUUGGAGCGAAGAAUCGAAUUUAACGAACUCCGACGGCGAAGUGAAAGCGAGAACGUGACGCGUCGUCGACGGCGGCGUUAGGGGCUGGUUUGAAUUGGCRGCAUGCGGCAUGGCCUUCGGGUGGUGUCGCUGUUGUUUUUUUUCUACUUUUUUCCGCGCCGUCGUAGGCGUUUCGAAGCAUCGUUCCCGGGUCGGGUGUGCGCGUCGCGUGGCRGCUUUCGGGCYGUCGGCGCGGCGCGCUCCGACUCAGGUGUAGCAGGCGGCCGGGGACCCGAAAGAUGGCGAUCCACGCCCGGUCGGGACGAAGCCAGAGGAAACUCUGGUGGAAGUCCGAAGCGCCUCUGACGUGCAAAUCGAUCGUCGGAACCGGGUGUAGGGGCGAAAGACCAAUCGAGCCGUCUA